rnacentral:rRNA from 1 species
UGGGGAAUUUUGGACAAUGGGCGAAAGCCUGAUCCAGCCAUGCCGCGUGAGUGAAGAAGGCCUUCGGGUUGUAAAGCUCUUUUAGUCGGAAAGAAAGAGUUGCAAUGAAUAAUUGUGAUUUAUGACGGUACCGACAGAAAAAGCACCGGCUAACUCCGUGCCAGCAGCCGCGGUAAUACGGAGGGUGCAAGCGUUAUCCGGAUUCACUGGGUUUAAAGGGUGCGUAGGUGGGCAGAUAAGUCAGUGGUGAAAUCUUCCGGCUUAACCGGGAAACUGCCGUUGAUACUAUUUGUCUUGAAUAUUGCGGAGGUAAGCGGAAUAUGUCAUGUAGCGGUGAAAUGCUUAGAUAUGACAUAGAACACCAAUUGCGAAGGCAGCUUACUACACAAUCAUUGACACUGAGGCACGAAAGCGUGGGUAGCGAACA